rnacentral:rRNA from 1 species
AAUACGUAGGGGGCAAGCGUUGUCCGGAUUUAUUGGGCGUAAAGCGCUCGCAGGUGGCCCGAUGCGUCGUGCGUGAAAGACCCCGGCUCAACUGGGGGGCGUCGUGCGAUACGGUCGGGCUGGAGGCCAGUAGGGGGAUGCGGAAUUCCGGGUGUAGUGGUGGAAUGCGUAGAGAUCCGGAGGAACACCAGCGGCGAAGGCGGCAUCCUGGACUGGUCCUGACACUCAUGAGCGAAAGCGUGGGGAGCGAUCCGGA